rfam:Xenopus tropicalis strain Nigerian scaffold_7242_contig_1, whole genome shotgun sequence.
GCCCGGAUAGCUCAGUCGGUAGAGCAUCAGACUUUUAAUCUGAGGGUUCAAGUCCCUGUUCGGGCG